rnacentral:rRNA from 1 species
GUCCACGCCGUAAACUAUGAGAGCUAGCCGUCGGCAAGUACACUUGUCGGUGGCGCAGCUAACGCAUUAAGCUCUCCGCCUGGGGAGUACGGUCGCAAGAUUAAAACUCAAAGGAAUUGACGGGGCCCGCACAAGCGGUGGAGCAUGUGGUUUAAUUCGAAGCAACGCGCAGAACCUUACCAGCCCUUGACAUGUCACGUAUGGUUACCAGAGAUGGUUCCUUCAGUUCGGCUGGCGUGAACACAGGUGCUGCAUGGCUGUCGU